AUAGAUCCAUUUCUACCUGUUACACCUGUGAAACGUGUAGUACUGCAUAUUCACUGUUUAUCUUUGAGAUAGAAGAUGAAAGAAUUCACAAUGCUGAGCCUAUUUUCGACUGGAAAGCUGACUCCAGUUUGACCCCUGUCCGUAUAAAACAGAAGUGAAAUGGGAUAACGUAUAGCAAAGUGUUUACUUGAGCAUUCCAAGAAGAGUGUAAAUGUGUUAACUGUGAUAAAUGAUAUAUAAACUUCUAAGAUAUUCCAAAUUUGAUGAGGAUCAUAAAACCGUUUUUGCUAUUUAUUAUGGUAACAUCGGUUACGUUUUGUGAAAGUAAAAAACAUAAUAAAGGAUCUUUCCAUCUCGACGUGAAGGAUAGUCUUGAAAACGUCGAUCCCAAAAAUCAAAAUGCCAUGAUUUGGGAGAACUGUACAGAAAAAUCCGAAAGUUUAUUUACUCUUGAAAAAGAAAGAUCCCAAAUUGAAUGCACAGAGAAUGGUACGAUCAAAGUAGAAUUGACUAUGACCGUCCUAGUGAAAGACAAUCCCAGUAAUGUGCUACUGUGUGUUAAUCAUCUCAAUCAAGAAAAACAAAGAACAGAACAGGAAUGUCAACAAUUUAAAUACCUGAAAUCUCAAGCCGGUUAUGUGACUAGCAUUCAAUUGAAUUGUAUAUAUAAUGUCAUAGAAGGUGACAAGAUCCACGUAACAGUAGUAGGGACAAACAUGAUCAAUAGAUACAGGGUUUUCAACAGACUUCUUAUGUAUUAUAUAUAAUGUCACAUAAAACCAUUGACAAUGCAAAACAUAAAGUGAUAUCGUCUUAUUUGUACACAAAUCAGGUAAUUUCUUAUCUCGUUUAACUUGUGUCAAAUGUUGAGCCCCCGGAACCCGUUUUAGCUUUCUA